rnacentral:tRNA from 1 species
GCGGGUAUAGCUUAAUGGUAAAGCGCCAGCCUUCCAAGCUGGCCACGCGGGUUCGAUUCCCGCUACCCGCUCCA